UACGUAGGUGGCUAGCGUUGUUCGGAUUUACUGGGCGUAAAGGGCUCGUAGGCGGCCAACUAAGUCACACGUGAAAUCCCCAGGCUUAACCUGGGAACUGCGUGUGAUACUGGAUGGCUUGAAUCCGGGAGAGGGAUGCGGAAUUCCAGGUGUAGCGGUGAAAUGCGUAGAUAUCUGGAGGAACACCGGUGGCGAAGGCGGCAUCCUGGACCAAUUCUGACGCUGAGGAGCGAAAGCUAGGGGAGCAAACGGG
rnacentral:rRNA from 1 species